rnacentral:rRNA from 1 species
UACCAGCACCCCGAGUGGUCGGGACGUUUAUUGGGCCUAAAGCAUCCGUAGCCGGUUCUGCAAGUCUUCCGUUAAAUCCACCUGCUUAACAGAUGGGCCGCGGAAGAUACUAUAGAGCUAGGAGGCGGGAGAGGCAAGCGGUACUCGAUGGGUAGGGGUAAAAUCCGUUGAUCCAUUGAAGACCACCAGUGGCGAAGGCGGCUUGCCAGAACGCGCUCGACGCUGAGGCGCGAAAGCGUGGGGAGCGAACCGG